UGGGGAAUAUUGCGCAAUGGUCGAAAGACUGACGCAGCGACGCCGCGUGGAGGAUGACGCCCUUCGGGGUGUAAACUCCUGUUGCUCGGGACGAACCGUGGAAUUCAUUCCACCUGACGGUACCGAGUGAGGAAGCACCGGCUAACUCUGUGCCAGCAGCCGCGGUAAUACAGAGGGUGCGAGCGUUGUCCGGAAUCACUGGGCGUAAAGGGCGCGUAGGCGGCUUGGCAAGCGUGCGGUGAAAGCUCGGGGCUCAACCCCGAGUCGGCCGUGCGAACUGCUGGGCUUGAGCACAGUAGAGGCAGAUGGAAUUCCGGGUGUAGCGGUGGAAUGCGUAGAGAUCCGGAAGAACACCGGUGGCGAAGGCGGUCUGCUGGGCUGUGUCUGACGCUGAGGCGCGACAGCGUGGGGAGCAAACAGG
rnacentral:rRNA from 1 species